AGCGAACGCUGGCGGCAGGCUUAACACAUGCAAGUCGAGCGGGCACUUCGGUGUCAGCGGCAGACGGGUGAGUAACACGUGGGAACGUGCCCUUCGGUUCGGAAUAACUCAGGGAAACUUGAGCUAAUACCGGAUACGCCCUUUUGGGGAAAGGUUUACUGCCGAAGGAUCGGCCCGCGUCUGAUUAGCUAGUUGGUGGGGUAAAAGCCUACCAAGGCAACGAUCCAUAGCUGGUCUGAGAGGACGACCAGCCACACUGGGACUGAGACACGGCCCAGACUCCUACGGGAGGCAGCAGUGGGGAAUCUUGGACAAUGGGGGAAACCCGUGAUCCAGCCAUGCCGCGUGAGUGAUGAAGGCCCUAGGGUUGUUAAAACUCUUUCGG
rnacentral:rRNA from 1 species